UGCCGCAAAACGCCGGCGCCUUUACAGCACUUUACGACUAAGCUGGAGGAGAUGGGCAAGCCUGCUCCUGCGGGGGAGACCCGGUUCCGGCUCAACUUGCAGUGAGCCGCCGGCUGCUGGGGCGGGGAGGUGAAGGGUUAGUAGGCCAAGGGGGUCCGUCUAGUGCCCCCAGCCUGGCCUUUGGGGAAGGACGAGGUCGCCUCCCGAUUCCCCUAGCCAGUGGCUUAAACAUCUCCAUCCUGGGACUGGAUACCAAUUUGAAGUUGACUUGAUGAACAUAAAAUCCAUACAGGUGUUCUUAACUUGGGAUCCACAAAUGGACUUCUAAGAUGUAUGAACUCUCUAAAAUUUUAUGGAAAACGUUUUGCAUAUUUUUCUGCGGAGAAUGACCACAGUUUUCACCAAAUUUUCAAAGAGGUCUGAAUUGCCCAGAUGCUUAAGACUCACUGUACUGAGUGAAAUUGUGUAAGUUUAUAUCCCAGCUCUACAACUUAAUGACUGUGGGAUAUUGAACAAGUUAUUUAGCCAACCAGUGCCUCACAAAACUUGCUCUGUUUUUCUGCAUAAUAAUAGUAACGGCUUCAUAAGGUUGUUGUGAAUGUGUGCAAGUUAAUGUAUGUCAAAUGCUUAGCACAUAUAAGUGGCUAUGUAACUCUUACUAGAAAAAUGCCUGUAAAAAUAAAAAUAAAACAAAGCACAGAACUAAAAAAUUACUGUUGUUGAAAACUUAGGAUUUAAAGCUCAAAAGAUAGGUCAGACGAGGGGUUGAUCUCCAUAAUAUAUAAAGAACUCACACAACUGAACAACAAAAAAACAAACAACCUGAUCAAAAAAUGGGCAGAGGAAAUGAACAGACAAUUCUCCAAAGAAGAUAUACAGAUGGCCAAUAGGCACAUGAAAAGAUGUUCAACAUCACUAAUCAUCAGGGAAAUGCAAAUCAAAACACUAAGGUAUCACCUCACGCCUGUUAGAAUGGCUAUAAUCACCAAGACAAAAAACAGCAAAUGUUGGAGAGGAUGUGGAGAAACAGGAACCCUCAUACACAGCUGGUGGGAAUGCAAACUGGUGCAGCCUCUAUGGAAAACAGUAUGGAGAUUCCUCAAAGAAUUAAAAAUAGAGAUGCACUAUGAUCCAGCUAUCCCACUACUGGGAAUCUAUCCAACGAACCUGAAAUCAACAAUCAAGAGAGGCUUAUGCACCCCUAUGCUCAUUGCAGCAUUAUUCACUAUAGCCAAGAAGUGGAAGCAGCCUAAGUGUCCCUCAACUGACAAUUGGAUCAAGAAGAUGUGGUAUGUAUAUACAAUGGAAUACUACUCAGCCAUAAAAAAAGACAAAAUCGUCCCAUUUGCAACAACGUGAAUGGGCCUGGAGGGUAUUAUGUUAAGUGAAGUAAGCCAGAAAGAGAAAGACAAACACUGUAUGAUCUCACUCAUAUGUGGAAUAUAAACCAACACG